AUUAUGCGACCAACCUUAAUGAUGAUUGACAUUUUUAUUGUCGGGGCCCUGUGAUUGGCUGACUGGCCGGGGUGAAGCUGGGGGUGAUAGCCGACAUCCAGCCAUCGACAUGUGAUCAAGACGCCCAAGGUGAAUCCAAGUUUCACGCUUCGCAGGACCGCACACUUGAUGACAGCUCCAGUAUCUCCGGUAAAACGACGAAUGAUCAGACCACUGCAACAGCGGCGCCCCUCCCUCCACACACGGUCUUAGACUGACAUCUGGUGUCAGACCACUGCAACAGCAGCGCCCCUCCCUCCACACACGGUCUUACACUGACAUCUGGUGGCAGGAUGAUACUGGAGCUGCUGCUGUUUGCUGCUCUGCUAGUCGGAGGUUAUUUUCUUCUCCACAUGACUUUUCUCAAGCUGCCACGAUGUAAAAGUGCUGCAAAGUUACACGGGAAAAUCGUCAUCGUCACCGGAGCAAACACCGGCAUCGGUAAGACCACGGAGAUGGAUUUGGCCAGGAGGGGGGCGAGGGUGAUCCUGGCCUGCAGGGACAGACGGCGAGCCGAGGCCGCCGCUCAGGAAAUCAUCCAGGUGUACUUGUGAAAACUGUGAACACAUGCCCCAGGAGAGAGAAAAUAUAUGUUGCUGGGAAAUACCACAGGUCAUGAGAAUAAUGACCCAGGUUCCUGAGGAGAUAACCUGUAUGCAUGACCAUCCUGACCUUCAUCCAGUGUGCCUCAAUAUAUAUUCUUUGCAAAAUGCAAUGAAUAUUAAUAUUUACAGAGUUGACCAUGGCCGGUUGAGAAUCCGAGGGUUGGAAAGAUGGGGUCUGCAAAAUGAAGACACUGCCAGGGAGUCGUACCUGAAGGCCAUGCAAGAUUUCCACGUGAACUUCAGCAUUACAGCAUCAGGGCUAUUUAUCAACCCGGACCUACCAUGGCUACGAGCAUCGCCAGAUGUUGUGGUGACCUGUGAUUGAUUGGUGUGCUUGAUAUAAAAUGUCCUUUUAAUGCAAAUGGCCGUGCUCUCAAGGAAUGUGUCAGCGACCCACAUUUCUGCUUUACUGUGACUGCGGAAGGUAUGACCCUCAAGUAAGAUCAUAGUUACAUGUACCAACUGCUGGCCCAAAUGCGUGUAGCUGAGGUAAUGUACAUGGAUUUCGUUGUAUGGACACCAAAAGAAGUUUUUAUGCAAUGAGUCCAAUUUGAUCAAUACUUUUUUGAUGAGGCCUACACUAGGGUGGAAGAAUUCAUUAGAACAGGGGUAUUGCCGGAGCUGUUGGGUAAAUGGUUUACUGUGCCACACCUCUCCUCAAGUGCUAACCUUGAGAAGGAACCUGAGGGAUGUUACUGGGGGAAACCCUGUUGAUGACACAGACAUCCUCUCUCGCACAUCCGAGCAAUGCAAACGAAAGCGCUUCCACAAGUCAUGUCUGAAGCUGAGCAGGGUGCCAAAGAUUUGGAAGUGUUUAGAAUGCAAAAAGCAAACAAACAAGAAAUGAAGUUGGCAAGGCAAGGUAGCUUUAUUUGUAUAGCCAACAUGGCAUCAUGACUUUGCGUAAAUAUAUACGCCACUUUCAUAAAGCCAAAUGGCGUGUUAUUUUACGCAA